UGCGAAGGUGAAAUGGUGCGGUAAGAGCGCACCGGCGCCGUGGUGACACGGCGGCCAGGCAAGCCCCACCCGGUGCAAGGCCGAAUAGGGAGGCGCUUGAGGGUUGCUCGCCCGAAGCCUCCGGGUUGGCCGCAUGAGCCGUCCGGCAACGGCCGGCCAUAGAUAGAUGGCUACCCAAGACAGAAUCCGGCUUAUAGGGCUGCUAACGCA
rnacentral:RNase_P_RNA from 1 species